rnacentral:rRNA from 1 species
CAGUCGCCACGGUAGUACGUAGGUGGCGAGCGUUGUCCGGAAUUAUUGGGCGUAAAGGGCUCGCAGGCGGUUUCUUAAGUCUGAUGUGAAAGCCCCCGGCUCAACCGGGGAGGGUCAUUGGAAACUGGGAAACUUGAGUGCAGAAGAGGAGAGUGGAAUUCCACGUGUAGCGGUGAAAUGCGUAGAGAUGUGGAGGAACACCAGUGGCGAAGGCGACUCUCUGGUCUGUAACUGACGCUGAGGAGCGAAAGCGUGGGGAGCGAACAGGAUUAGAUACCCCCGUAGUCCCUGUCUCUUAUAC